UGAACGCUAGCGGGAGGCCUAAUACAUGCAAGUCGAGCGGUAGAGUCCUUCGGGACUUGAGAGCGGCGCACGGGUGAGUAACGCGUACAUGACCUGCCUUUAAGACCGGGAUAGCCCUGGGAAACUGGGAUUAAUACCGGAUGUGAUAAUAUGUAUAGAGAUAUAUUAUUAAAGUUGAGGCGCUUAGAGAUGGGUGUGCGUUUGAUUAGCUAGUUGGUAGGGUAACGGCCUACCAAGGCGACGAUCAAUAGGGGGCGUGAGAGCGUGACCCCCCACACGGGUACUGAGACACGGACCCGACUCCUACGGGAGGCAGCAGUAAGGAAUAUUGGUCAAUGGACGGAAGUCUGAACCAGCCAUCCCGCGUGCAGGAUGAAGGUCCUAUGGAUUGUAAACUGCUUUUAGCAGAGACGAAACGCCGACAUUUUAUGUUGGUCUGACGGUAUCUGCGGAAUAAGCACCGGCUAACUCCGUGCCAGCAGCCGCGGUAAU
rnacentral:rRNA from 1 species